AAAUUUUGUCAGUCACUAGUCUUACAUAUCGAGCGAACAAGCUACAAUGGUCAAAUAGUUUUCACACUAACUUAACUCAAACUACUUCGCUGCCAUUACGAAUUGUAUUUUUUUUAUUCGCAUUUUGUUGGUGCAUUGAAGAAGGUGAAGUACCACCACUACCUAUUCCAGUACCAACACCACUACCAGCUAUAACAACCGCACCUCCAUGAUGGUAAUGAUGUUGAUGGUGGCCGUGAAUAUGAUGAUGGUGGUUUUUAUGAUAACCAUGGUCAUGGGUAUUAAUGUGAUGAGCAUAAUGUAUUCCACCUAUAAAUAUUGUAUUAAAUAAAAAAAAUAUUAAUUUGUAGCCAUAGUCGAAAUUAUUAAAAAAAACUUUACCUGUAUGAAAAUUCAUAGGCAAUUGAUGUUGUUGCUGUUGUUGUUGAUGGCACGAUGCGUAGUGCUGUGGAUGUUGUUGGAAGACCACAGAUGGCUGGUUGUCCGUUGAAUAAGGUAUUGAAUUUGACGAAUUGGUUGAUGCCGAUGUGGGAACAUAGUGCUGUUGUAAAUAAACAUAUCCACCACUCUCAGAGCCAGAAGUAUUUGAUGCAGGUAUUCCAGCAAUACCAUAUUGAGCUGAUCCACUUCGUUCAAUUGGUUUUUGUGGGAAACUGAAAUAAAAUGACAAAUUAAUUAUUUUAAAAUUGCAAGAAGUAAAUAUUGUAAGAAUUAACAUGACGUAUAUAAAAAAUUGUCAAUAACCUAACAUUCGCACAAUUGAAAUCCAA